rnacentral:rRNA from 1 species
GAUGAACGCUGGCGGCGUGCCUAAUACAUGCAAGUCGAGCGAACAGGCGAGGCGCUUGCUCCUCUCUCGUUAGCGGCAGACGGGUGAGUCACACGUGGAUACCCUACCUAUAAGACUGGGAUAACUUCGGGACACCGGAGCUAAUCCCGGAUAAUAUAUUGAACCGCGGGGUUCAAUAGUGAAAUACGGUUUUGGUGUCUCUUCUCGCUGGAUCCCCGCCGCAUUGGCUAGUUGGUAAGGUAAAGGCUUACCAAGGCGACGAUGCGUAGCCGACCUGAGAGGGUGAUCGGCCACACUGGAACUGAGACACGGUCCAGACUCCUACGGGAGGCAGCAGUAGGGAAUCUUCCGCAAUGGGCGAAAGCCUGACGGAGCAACGCCGCGUGAGUUAUGAAGGUCUUCGGAUCGUAAAACUCUGUUAUCAGGGAAGAACAAAUGUGUAAGUAACUAUGCACGUCUUGACGGUACCUAAUCAGAAAGCCACGGCUAACUACGUG